rnacentral:lncRNA from 1 species
AACUUUCUGAAACAUUAGCUCUCACUCUUUCUCUAAGUGACUUUGAGAUGAAGCAAUUUCUGGAGAGGUUUAGGAUAAGCAGCUUGGAUGUCAGAAAGGCCAAUCUCUGAUUUUAGAGACGAAAGUACUGAAUCACAGAGCCAGCUGGUGGCAGAGCUAGGGAUCAGGGCCAUGGACCUCCUGACCGCUCAGGGAACCUGGAACCUGCUCUGUUUGCUGGUGUUUUACAGAGAGCAGAAACUGGAAGUUACAGAGAAAGCUGAAAUAACUUGGCCCGAAGUCACUCAGCUAAGAAGUGGCUGUGUCCAAGCUCACAUUCCGGGCUAUGCUGCGUCUCUAGACUGCGGCUUGAAGCUGUAUUUGUAAAGAUGGGGGAUAGAUGCUUGCAUGUGCUCAUAGGAUUCCAAGAAGAUGUGCAGUGGGAGCAUUUACAAACGAGUCUGUCUGUCUUCACCACCAACAUGUAGGCCAGCUUUCUCUGCCCCUCUGAGAAGUCUGCAAAAGGUCACAGCUGCAUGGCUCCAGAAGCUAUUUGUCUUUAAAUCAAGGGACCAGCAAAUACGGAUUAGUGAUCUGACCUCUCCAAUCCCAGUUCCUGGGAGACAAGAAGAGAGGUCAAGAGGGCAUCCUCCAAUCAGCUACAUCCAGGGGACUGGGGACAUGGGACUGCCAGGGUCACACUGGGAAAACAUCAUACAUGCUGUCUCAAGUCAAAUGGUUUGUCCUCCAUGAAGACCCCUGACCAGUCCUAUGGAAGAAGUCUCCUUUCUCCUGUGUUCCCAUAGCAUAUUCUCUGCCCUCUUCUAUCACACUUAUCGCUCUCUCCCUUGUAUUAGUUUUGCUUUUAUAAGCAUCUUCUCCCCCAGCCCAUGUAUCUAUAAGCUUCUUGUUUCUCUUCCUAUAUCUCACAGCUUGGGCCAAAUAAUUGGGUGUGCACUCAAUACAUAUUUGAAGUCACAAUCUUUCCCCAAUAAAUACAUUUUCAAGAAACUCA